rnacentral:rRNA from 1 species
GAUGAACGCUAGCGAUAGGCCUAACACAUGCAAGUCGAGGGGCAUCACAUGAAGUAGCAAUACGGAUGGUGGCGACCGGCGCACGGGUGAGUAACACGUAUGCAACCUGCCUUCAACAAGGGGAUAACCCGUUGAAAGACGGACUAAUACCCUAUAACACAGGGGUCCCGCAUGGGAAUAUUUGUUAAAGGACAACCGGUUGAAGAUGGGCAUGCGUUCCAUUAGCUGGUUGGUGAGGUAACGGCUCACCAAGGCAACGAUGGAUAGGGGAACUGAGAGGUUUAUCCCCCACACUGGUACUGAGACACGGACCAGACUCCUACGGGAGGCAGCAGUGAGGAAUAUUGGUCAAUGGACGCAAGUCUGAACCAGCCACGUCGCGUGAAGGAAGACGGCCCUACGGGUUGUAAACUUCUUUUGUACGGGAAUAAAGUGCCCCACGCGUGGGGUUUUGCAUGUACCGUAUGAAUAAGGAUCGGCUAACUCCGUGCCAGCAGCCGCGGUAAUUCACA